CCCUUAGAUGUCCUGGGCCGCACGCGCGCUACACUGAGUGUCUGAGAUACGAGUCUGCCUGGUCCGGCAAGGUCUAGGUAAUCGCUAAAAGACACAUCAUGCUUGGGAUAGAUUAUUGCAAAUAUUAAUCUUGAACGAGGAAUUCCUAGUAAGCGCAAGUCAACAGCUUGCGUUGAUUACGUCCCUGCCCUUUGUACACACCGCCCGUCGCUACUACUGAUUGGAUGUUUAAGCGAGGUUCUCGAACUGCUAGCGACUUAGCUUCGGUGCGGUCGCAGUGUGGGAAGUGAACCUAGCUUUGGUGUCUAGAGGAAGUAAAAGUCGUAACA
rnacentral:rRNA from 1 species